rnacentral:rRNA from 1 species
UACGAAGGGGGCUAGCGUUGCUCGGAAUUACUGGGCGUAAAGGGCGCGUAGGCGGCUUGGCGAGUCAGGCGUGAAAUUCCUGGGCUUAACCUGGGGACUGCGCUUGAUACUGCUGGGCUUGAGGCCGAGAGAGGGUGGUGGAAUUCCCAGUGUAGAGGUGAAAUUCGUAGAUAUUGGGAAGAACACCGGUGGCGAAGGCGACCACCUGGCUCGGUACUGACGCUGAGGCGCGACAGCGUGGGGAGCAAACAGG